UUUUAACUGUAAAGCUAUUAUGACAAUAAGCGAGGUUAGCAACUGAUAAUAAAUUAACCAAUAUUGGAAUGCAUCAUAAUUAUUCUAAUGGCAGUAAUUUACAAUUGAUUAUUUUCUAAAAUGCAGGUUUAUCCCAAACGAAAUGGUAUGGAUCAACCAGAAGUGUCAAAAAAACUUGCUUCUCCUAAAGUGUUUGUCAUGGAUGCAAUAAUAAAAAGUGAAAUGGUAAGUAAUAUUGCAUUUGGAAACACAUCAGUGAUCCUCAAUCAUUAAAAGUAACAUUUUAAAACUCCAUAACUGAUUAGUGGACUGUGUAUGAAGCAAAUUAUGCAAUUGGUCAAAACCUUUGAGCAAUCACCCAUUUUAUAGAUGUAUGCCUA